UACGUAGGGGGGCAAGCGUUGUCCGGAAUUAUUGGGCGUAAAGAGCGUGUAGGCGGCCAGAUAAGUCCGCUGUGAAAUCUCGAGGCUCAACUUCGAGCUGUCGGUGGAAACUAUCUGGCUAGAGUCCGGAAGAGGAGAAUGGAAUUCCUGGUGUAGCGGUGAAAUGCGCAGAUAUCAGGAAGAACACCCGUGGCGAAGGCGGUUCUCUGGGACGGUACUGACGCUGAGACGCGAAAGCGUGGGGAGCGAACAGG
rnacentral:rRNA from 1 species